rnacentral:rRNA from 1 species
GACGAACGCUGGCGGCGUGCUUAACACAUGCAAGUCGAACGGAAAGGCCCUGCUUUUGUGGUGUGCUCGAGUGGCGAACGGGUGAGUAACACGUGAGUAACCUGCCCUUGACUUUGGGAUAACUUCAGGUAACUGGGGCUAAUACCGGAUAGGAGCUCCUGCUGCAUGGUGGGGGUUGGAAAGUUUCGGCGGUUGGGGAUGGACUCGCGGCUUAUCAGCUUGUUGGUGUGGUAGUGGCUUACCAAGGCUUUGACGGGUAGCCGGCCUGAGAGGGUGACCGGCCACGUUGGGACUGGGAUACGGCCCAGACUCCUACGGGAGGCAGCAGUGGGGAAUAUUGCACAAUGGGCGGAAGCCUGAUGCAGCAACGCCGCGUGCGGGAUGACGGCCUUCGGGUUGUAAACCGCUUUCGCCUGUGACGAAGCGUGAGUGACGGUAAUGGGUAAAGAAGCACCGGCUAACUACGUG